rnacentral:rRNA from 1 species
CCCCUCAAGAUGAGAUAUCCCUCAGAAAUGAGUAAGACCCCUUGAAGACUACGAGGUAGAUAGGAAUGAGGUGUAAGCACAGCAAUGUGUUCAGCUGACAUUUACUAAUCGGUCGAGGGCUUGACCAAA